GAUGAACGCUGGCGGCGUGCCUCAAACAUGCAAGUCGAGCGGGGCUAUGUAAUAUCGCAAGGUAGAACAUAGCCUAGCGGCGAACGGGUGAGUAACACGUGGGUAACCUGCCUGGAAGACAGGGAUAACGAUUCGAAAGGGUCGCUAAUACCUGAUAAUAUCCUUUCAUCGCAUGGUGAUAGGAAGAAAGGGGAAACCCGCUUUCAGAUGGGCCCGCGUCCCAUCAGCUAGUUGGUAAGGUAAAGGCUUACCAAGGCGACGACGGGUAGCCGGUCUGAGAGGAUGUACGGCCACACUGGGACUGAGAUACGGCCCAGACUCCUACGGGAGGCAGCAGUUGGGAAUCUUAGGCAAUGGACGAAAGUCUGACCUAGCGACGCCGCGUGAGGGAAGAAGGCCUUCGGGUUGUAAACCUCUGUCAUGGGGGAAGAAGGAAGUGACGGUACCCCAAGAGGAAGCCCCUGCUAACUACGUGCCAGCAGCCGCGGUAAGAGUACUCUAU
rnacentral:rRNA from 1 species